AAGUGGGCCUAAAAGCAGCCACCUUACAAAAAGCGUUAAAGCUUCAUUGGUUAAAUUAAAAAUUCCAUUAAUUUUUUACAACCCUUAAUCUGUACUGAAUGAUCUCAUAAUAUUAUGAGAGCCUAUAUGUUAGAACUAGUAACAAGAAGAAGUCCUUCUCCAAAAUGUAAGCAUGAGCCAAAAUGAACAAUUCAUUGGCAAUUAAAGUUAAAUAUUUAUUGUAGUAACCCAACAAGAAAAACCUACUAAUUAUUAGCGUCAACCUUACACUAGUACAUUUCUGGAAAGAUUAAAAGAAUGGGAAGGAACUCGGCAAAUAAUUAACCCCGCCUGUUUACCAAAAACAUCGCCUCCUGAUAUUUUAUAGGAGGUCCAGCCUGCCCAGUGACAAAGUUAAACGGCCGCGGUACCCUAACCGUGCAAAGGUAGCGCAAUCACUUGUUCUUUAAAUGAGGACUAGUAUGAACGGCAUCACGAGGGUUAUGCUGUCUCCCCACUCUAUUCAGUGAAACUGAUUUUCCCGUGAAGAAGCGGGAAUAAAAAUAUAAGACGAGAAGACCCCAUGGAGCUUUAAGCUCAGUAUCAACUGCCUAACUAAAAAACCUUAUAUUUUGCAGCCAUGCUUACUAGAUUUCGGUUGGGGUGACCACGGAGUAAAACUAAACCUUCAUGAUGAAAGGAACUAAUAACCUAACCUAUGAGCUACAGCUCUAAGUAUCAACAAAUUGACUAAAUUGACCCAAUUACUUGAUCAACAAACCAAGUUACCCUGGGGAUAACAGCGCAAUCCAUUCCAAGAGCUCAUAUCGACAAAUGGGUUUACGACCUCGAUGUUGGAUCAGGGUAUCCCAGUGGCGCAGCUGCUACUAACGGUUC
rnacentral:rRNA from 1 species